UACGUAGGGUGCAAGCGUUGUCCGGAAUUAUUGGGCGUAAAGAGCUCGUAGGCGGCUCGUCACGUCGGCUGUGAAAACCCGGGGCUCAACCCCGGGCCUGCAGUCGAUACGGGCGAGCUAGAGUUCGGCAGGGGAGACUGGAAUUCCUGGUGUAGCGGUGAAAUGCGCAGAUAUCAGGAGGAACACCGGUGGCGAAAGCGACUUCCUGGACCAAUACUGACGCUCAUGUGCGAAAGCGUGGGGAGCAAACAGG
rnacentral:rRNA from 1 species